ensembl:lncRNA
GGGGGGGGUUAAUAUUCUGGCCAUUUUUUUGGACGUUGUAGUUCACUAUAUAUAGUGAUAUGAACCUGAUAUAUAGUGAUAUGUGCUCUGUUUAGAAGGAGUAAUUACAUGUGUGAUUUAAACCAGCACAUUUCUGUUAAAUGUCAUUCCUAACUGAAAAUGAUGUGCCAAGAGCAAAGGAUUGGACAAAAGUGAAGACAUCGAAAUUAGUUUUGGACCGUAUUGAUUUCAAUGAUUACAUUUUAUCGUAUUAGUAUUAUAUAUUAGGGUGUUAUUUGUCUAUUUCAUGGUCUCAUGUAUUGUUUAACAAGACAUUGCCCCCCCCCCAUAUAAUUAGCUAUUUACUACCAUCAUGUGAUGAAUAACACUGGCAGAUGUCUCAUUUAUACACUUCUUCAAUGGGAACCAUUCAAUCUUUCAUCAGGAGAUGAAACCUGAUCAAGAAAUCUCAGCCCUUGUUACCGAUCAGUCGGCGCACAACAUAAGAAAUCUCAGCAGUGAAAGUGAAACUCAAAAGUUGUUGAAUCACGGUUUUCUGUUCAUACAACUCCUCUUGUCUUGACCCCUCCUCCCCAGAGAGUGAUUGAGUAGAUGUGUGAGGGGUCUGGAGGCCCGUCGAGGAAGGGCCCCCCCCCCUCAGUUGAUCCUACCAGUCAGUUACAGUUAGGGCAUUGUGUGAAGGAAAAGGUUUUGUUGUUGUUGUGAGAUGUCUUUUGAUUGGCUAUGUCUCUUAAUGUGUUGGAUUCACAGGUGAUCCCUGAAACAACGGGGAGGAGGUUGUCUUUCUACAAUAAUAUUGUGUUGUCCUACCGGUCAGUCAGUUGAUCCUACCGGUCAGUCAGUUGAUCCUACCGGUCAGUCAGUUGAUCCUACCGGUCAGUCAGUUGAUCCUACCGGUCAGUCAGUUGAUCCUACCGGUCAGUCAGUUGAUCCUACCGGUCGGUCAGUUGAUCCUACCGGUCGGUCAGUUGAUCCUACCGGACAGUCAGUUUGAUUUGAUUUGUCCUACCAGGCAGUCAGUUGUCCUACCAGUCAGUCAGUCAGUUGUCCUACCAGUCAGUCAGUCAGUUGUCCUACCAGUCAGUCAAUUAUCCUACCAGUCAGUCAAUUGUCCUACCAGUCAGCCAGUUGUCCUACCAGUCAGCCAGUUGUCCUACCAGUCAGUAAAUGAUCCUACCAGUCAGUAAAUGAUCCUACCAGUCAGUCAAUUAUCCUACCAGUCAGUCAAUUAUCCUACCAGUCAGCCAGUUGUCCUACCAGUCAGCAAGUCUUGGACUAGAGUAUUACACUGACUACCAUCCUAUCAAACAAUAUCAAUAAUGCUGUUUCCAGAUGAGACAGACGUUAGGCUACAUGUUAUUCUGUUCUGUUCCUGCAUUAUAUUACAGCUGCUCUGGUAGAGUCAAUAGUAUUCAUUCUGUACAUAAGUCUUUCUGGAAGACAAUAUUGUCCUUUCUUUCUCUUCUCCUCCUUGGUUUACUGUCUGUCUGCCUCCACCCCUCCGUAUCCCAUCCCCCUCUCAGGAAGGAAAUCACAUGACCUGUUGUUUGUUACACCGGUGUCUCAUUAUUAUCCAUCAUCUCCAUGACAACUGGGCAAAAUAAAAUAACUAUAUUUAUUUGUUUAUAUACUUAUUUUUUAAAUCAUCUAUAUAUUUUCAUUAAUUUUUUAAAUGUGUAGUGUCAUCUACGUUGUUUUGGUUUUGUUUUUAAUUCAGGAAGAUUAUUUUUUUUGUCAUCUUGAAAUUGAAAUAGGUUCCGUAAAGGUCAGUAUUCCAUGCUCUAUAUUGAAAUAAUUUUUGGUACUUUCUGCAGAGAAGACCUUUUCUAUUGUAUUUAUGUAUGUGCUUUACCGAAUUGUAAGACGAUGCCACAAAUGUUAAGGAUGGUAAUAGAGUAAAGAUACAAGAAUAGCAGUAAUAUGUUGUCCUG